UACAGAGACUGCAAGCGUAUUCGGAUUCACUGGGCGUAAAGGGUGCGCAGGCGGCCAAGUGUGUGAGGCGUGAAAGCCUGGGGCUUAACUCCAGAAUUGCACCUCAAACUACAUGGCUAGAGCAUUGGAGAGGGUAGCAGAAUUCACGGUGUAGCAGUGAAAUGCGUAGAUAUCGUGAGGAAUACCAGAGGCGAAGGCGGCUACCUGGACAAUUGCUGACGCUCAGGCACGAAAGCGUGGGGAGCAAAAGGG
rnacentral:rRNA from 1 species